GACGAACGCUGGCGGCGUGCCUAACACAUGCAAGUCGAACGGAGCAGAUCCCUUCGGGGGUUUGCUUAGUGGCGAACGGGUGAGUAACGCGUGAGGAACCUCCCUUUCAGUGGGGGACAACAGUUGGAAACGACUGCUAAUACCGCAUAUGCCUUAAUUAUCACAUGAUAAUAGAGGGAAAGGAGCAAUCCGCUGAUAGAUGGGCUUGCGUCUGAUUAGAUAGUUGGUAAGGUAACGGCCCACCAAGGCAACGAUCAGUAGCCGGUCUGAGAGGAUGAACGGCCACAUUGGGACUGAGAUACGGCCCAG
rnacentral:rRNA from 1 species